rnacentral:rRNA from 1 species
CCCUUAGAUGUUCUGGGCCGCACACGCGCUACACUGAAGGAGGCAGCGUGUACUCCUGGAUCGAAAGAUUUGGGUAACCCGCGAAUCUCCUUCGUGCUAGGGAUUGAGGUUUGCAAUUAUCCUUCAUGAACGAGGAAUUCCCAGUAAGUGCAAGUCAUAAGCUUGCGCUGACUACGUCCCUGCCCUUUGUACACACCGCCCGUCGCUACUACCGAUUGAAUGAUUUAGUGAGGACUUCGGACUGGGACCGAUGCGGCUUUCGGGCUGCGUCGGUAUUCUGGAAAGAUGUCCAAACUGUCUCAUUUAGAGGAAGUAAAAGUCGUAACA